ACAUUUCAAAGGAGUCUUGUAGGGUAGUAAGGCUUGUGAUAGCUCUGCAUAAUCUUCAGCUCUAUACACUUGGUCACUGAACCAGUGAUCUGCCCCAGUCAUAUGAGAUGAACUGGCACAACACCUACAAAUGCU